GGCACUGAAGAUUCAGCAGUGAACAAAACACACAUGGUCCCUGUCCUGAGUCUCUGAAGGAGGGUGAAGGUGGAGGGUGUCAAAGGUAACCACAGCCACAUUAGUCCAAUGUGAUGAAAACAGAUUUUAAUCAGUAACCGCUGACAGCAGGGAGAAAGAGCCUUGCUUCAUUCUGAUUUGCACAGAGGUAGUGAUAUUUGAUGACGUGGGAGGCCAGGAGAAGGAAUUGACUAUUUUGGUGAAUUGAGAAUCCAGAUAUGCGAAGGUCCAGAAAAAAAGAUUCCAGAAGAAAAGCAGUCCAGAGGGAAGAGCAAGUGAGCAGCCCUAAGGCAGGAGGAAAGGCCAGUGAUCCUGGAGUGCAGGGACCAUAGCGGCCAUGCAGUGGUAUGUUAAGCACCUCCAUGGAGAAGCUGCUGUGACAGCUGUACAAGGGAGAGGAUGGCAUGUUCAGGCACUCACUGA